rnacentral:misc_RNA from 1 species
GGCGUAAUGUUUUAUAGAGUACAAAGUUUCUUAUUAUUAAAAACCGUUUAUAAUUUUUAAAAUCAUAUUCUAACUUAUAAUCUAUUUUAAAAAGAAAUGUCUCAUUGUUUAUUUGCUCGGGAUAAAAAUUACAAUUAUAAGGUGUUUUUAUUGCCAGAUUUUGUUGCUGAAUAAAAUGGAAGGUAGAAAAGUGAGGAAAACAUAUAAAAGGCAGCGCCAUCACCCGGCACGCUCUCUUUGCUGUUCAGCUGUCAACGAGUCAACAUCUUGGUAACGUAAUUCUGCCGGUUAGGUUUUGCUUAUCUUGUUACGUAAUUGUUCUAGAGGCCUUACAUUCUUAGUCUUCAUUUAAUUUUGGUUUGUUAAAUUUAAUUGUUUUCAAAGUAGAUUCGUUUUUGUGAAGUGUAUUCUUUAAGGUAGUAAUAAAUUUGUUUUUAAAAAUAUAACUUCUG